GUCCAUAAAUAUUUCUAGUUUGUAGGCACUCCUAGAUCAUUCAGUCAUGUCACUCCUUUGGCAAUGUGCAAUUGUUUUGGCUGUCGUAGCAGCAAGCGCUGCAAAUGAAGAUUUUAAUGUGGAUUGUGAGAAACACUCCAUUAAAGUGACAUGGAAGGUCAGUCCAGAGUUGGUUGAACAUGCUGCCCGUCUUUUCCUUGGACACUGUGUUCCGUCCACAUUUUCUGUUCUUCCCACGGGAGAAGGGAUGGCGACAUUCCACUACAACCUCAAUGGCUGUGCCAUCAAGAAACGGGUGACUGGCAAAAAACACAUCUAUUCAACCAGCCUGACUUACAGACCUAACCGAAAGCCCAAACCUGCUGCUAUUUGUCACCAUAUUAAGUGUGUUUACAUAAGACCUGAGGGAUGAAU